GGCGAGUGAAGCGGCAACAGCUCAAAUUUGAAAUCUGGCGUCUUUGGCGUCCGAGUUGUAAUUUGCAGAGGGCGCUUUGGCAUUGGCAGCGGUCCAAGUUCCUUGGAACAGGACGUCACAGAGGGUGAGAAUCCCGUACGUGGUCGCUAGCCUUUACCGUGUAAAGCCCCUUCGACGAGUCGAGUUGUUUGGGAAUGCAGCUCUAAAUGGGAGGUAAAUUUCUUCUAAAGCUAAAUACUGGCCAGAGACCGAUAGCGCACAAGUAGAGUGAUCGAAAGAUGAAAAGCACUUUGGAAAGAGAGUUAAAAAGCACGUGAAAUUGUUGAAAGGGAAGCGCUUGCAGCCAGACUUGCCUGUAGUUGCUCAUCCGGGUUUUUACCCGGUGCACUCUUCUAUAGGCAGGCCAGCAUCAGUUUGGGCGGUUGGAUAAAGGUCUCUGUCACGUACCUCCUCUCGGGGAGAACUUAUAGGGGAGACGUAAUGCAACCAGCCUGGACUGAGGUCCGCGCAUCUGCUAGGAUGCUGGCGUAAUGGCUGUAAGCGGCCCGUCUUGAAACACGGACCAAGGAGUCUAACAUCUAUGCGAGUGUUUGGGUGUCAAGCCCGAGCGCGUAAUGAAAGUGAACGGAGGUGGGAACCUUUCGGGGUGCACCAUCGACCGAUCCUGAUGUCUUCGGAUGGAUUUGAGUAAGAGCAUAGCUGUUGGGACCCGAAAGAUGGUGAACUAUGCUUGAAUAGGGUGAAGCCAGAGGAAACUCUGGUGGAGGCUCGCAGCGGUUCUGACGUGCAAAUCGAUCGUCAAAUUUGGGCAU
rnacentral:rRNA from 1 species